UGAGGAAUAUUGGUCAAUGGGCGAGAGCCUGAACCAGCCAAGUAGCGUGCAGGAUGACGGCCCUAUGGGUUGUAAACUGCUUUUAUAUGGGAAUAAAGUGAGGGACGUGUCCCUUAUUGCAUGUACCAUACGAAUAAGGACCGGCUAAUUCCGUGCCAGCAGCCGCGGCAAUACGGAAGGUCCAGGCGUUAUCCGGAUUUAUUGGGUUUAAAGGGAGCGUAGGCUGUUUGUUAAGCGUGUUGUGAAAUGUAGGAGCUCAACUUUUAGAUUGCAGCGCGAACUGGCAGACUUGAGUGCGCACAACGUAGGCGGAAUUCAUGGUGUAGCGGUGAAAUGCUUAGAUAUCAUGACGAACUCCGAUUGCGAAGGCAGCUUACGGGAGCGCAACUGACGCUAGAGCUCGAAGGUGCGGGUAUCGAACAGG
rnacentral:rRNA from 1 species